GCGAGUAUGGCCCUCACGGGUCUAAUCCACCAUAAACACCUUUGUGAACCAGUCAGGGGGACUCGGCCGUGAAAGCCCAGGCGAUUAGCGGAAGGGCCCUCCUUUGCAAACCCGUUUAGAAGUCUCGAAAGUACUUUUGUAUAAUCUAGUA
rnacentral:misc_RNA from 1 species